rnacentral:lncRNA from 1 species
GUGCCAUCCAAAUCUGAUUGUAACCUACAAAUGCAUCUAUGAAGCUUAAGAGUCGAUGUUUCGAAGUCACAUCAACUAGUUGAUCAAUCUUUGGCAAAGAAAAAUUGUCCUUUGGACAGGCUUCAUUUAGAUUUAUAUAGUUGAUGCAAAUUCUUCAUUUUCUAUUGACUUUUCUCACCAUCACUACAUUGGUGAGCCAAUCAGGAUAAUUAGCUUCUCUG